AACGCACCUUGCGCCCCUUGGCUAUUCCGAGGGGCAUGCCUGUUUGAGUAUCAUGAACACCUCAACUCUCACGGUUUGCCGUGAUGAGCUUGGACUUUGGGGGUUUUGCUGGCCUGUGGUCGGCUCCUCUCAAAUGAAUCAGCUUGCCAGUGUUUGGUGGCGUCAUGGGUGUGAUAACUAUCUACGCUUGUGGUCGUCUGCAACCUUCAGUGAUGGAGGUUCGCUGGAGCUCAUAAACGUCUCUCCUCAGCGAAGACAGCAUUUCGAAUGUUCGAUCUCAAAUCAGGUAGGACUACCCGCUGAACUUAA
rnacentral:misc_RNA from 1 species